AGGAGGCGUCUACCCCCGGUAAUUUCAAAACCGGAUGCGCGAGCUCAGUUGUUAUGAAGCGAGUUUAACGUCUCAUUAACGACUACGAUCAAAAAGAAAAAGUUCAACAAAUAAUUUUUUUUACAACUAAUUUGGACAAAGUCAAAAGAAGAGGUGAAAGUCUAAUACAGAGAUGGAAGAAGGAGAAACCGCAUCGACACUUUCCAGAAAAGAACUACGGAAACAGAAGUUGAUGGAGUACUUGGCGGCAAAAGGACGGCUGAAACCAUCCAACCCCAAGCCUUACCUGCGCGAUGACUGUCUGAAGCCUGUUGUGUCUGCACGAAAGGUUGCUGAGGGAAAAGAGAACAAGGCUCCCAUUGACAGACUCAGAUAUGAGGGCUCAAAAGGUCAAACUCUGCCUGCUCAACCCACAAAACACCCCUCCACAAGAGCAUUUAGGGUCACUAACAAAGAGAAUGUCAGAGUAGGUGUCCUGACUGGACAGCAGAAUGCAAAACACACAUGUUCAACACGUGGACCAACACAGUUGGAGGUGAAGCCAAAUCCUCCACGAGUGCAUACCACAGUUUCCAGUAAAUACAAAGUGAAUGUAGCCAGUCAUCUCAAAAAGCAGCCAAACACAGCUGCCAACACUAGGGAGAACAGUAGCUCUAAGGCUUUUUCGUCAAGUACAAAGAAAACUCUCAACAGUGUCAGGAUGAGUCUUGGCCCCAUUGUUAAAACAAAAACUGGACUCAUUCCUGCGGUGACCCAGCCAAAAAACACACAGUCCCACUUAAUUCAUUCCACUGCCACUGCAACUGGUUCCACCACCACUCCUUCUGUUACUAAUAAGGUGCGACCCAGCACCUCAUCAGUCUCUGUCUCCCAGAAGUCUGCCACGGCCCAGAGGAAAACACUAGCUACCGCUGCCGUAAACAAUCUUGUUAAUGAAAGAAAAACCAUCCCAACUGCGAGAGCUGGGAUUAAAGAUCAAGAUCAGAGCAAGUCUGGCUCAAAAUCACUUUUGGUCAAAAAUCCUCAGCCAUCUUGUAAGAGUCAGUUAAUGAGUGGACAGAAAUCAGUGUCCAUGUCCAAGUACACGACAGCACCGAUUAAGCUGGAGGGGAGAGGUGUGUUAAAAACUAAUAAAUUGGCUGGUGUGGCCACAGGCAGGUCCACAAAGCAGAAAUUGGAGGGCGGAGGGGAGAAAAAUGGACAACCGCGCACAGUUCCUACCCGAACAUCCUCGGGGCUGGCAAGCAGAGCGGCCAGCGGGGUUACGCGAGCUGCUGUGGCCGAGCUCGGGGGAAAGACUAAGAUAUGUAACGAGACUCAAAGCAAGAGGGUACACAGUUCAGCAAAUGCCCUACCACCACAAGUGAGCAUAAGAAGAGCAGGUGCUCCAGUGAUGUCGCAUACUGUGCCGCGGCCUGUCAGGACCAUCAGCCAUACAGGCAACGCCGCGGACGUGAAGACGCCGAAGGUUCCAGUCAGGGUUAUUCCCCAGACUGAAGGAAAGAAACUGACUGCUGCCCAAGAGGAAAGAAUGAGAAAACUGCAGGAAUGGCGGGAAGCUAAGGGAAUAUCCUACAAGCGUCCUCCGAUGCCAGUGAAACCCCAGGUCAGGCGCACUGUGGCUGUGCCCCAGCCCUUCUGGACAACCAUGACGGAGGAGGACGAGGCCCACUCCCUCAUCUGUGCUGUGGACAGGUCCCUGGCUGACUGCAUCAAAUUGCUUGGAGAGGGUUGCCCCCAAGACCAGGUGAGGGAGGUUCUCUCGCGGCUGCCGGCGGUGUCCCAGAAGUUUGCCAAAUACUGGAUCUGUCAGGCCCGACUGAUGGAGAAGGAGGGCAACCUGGACGUCCUGCCCAUGUUUGAAGAGGCUGUUCGUGUUGUGUUGGAGCCAGUGGACGAGUUGAGGGCUGUGGUGUUUGAGAUUCUGAAGAAAAAGGACGAGAUCCAAGAAUCUGAAGCAAAAGAGACAAAGAAAGACCAAAGCCCAGCGGUGGAAAGCUCUCCUGAAAGCAGCAACAACCCAAUGAUGACCCCGAAACCUGUCAGAGCUCUCAUCUGUGGAGAGAAAGGAGACUCAUCUGUCGUCAAGUAUAAGAUCACAGCGACUCCUGGCGGCCCUCCGAGCCAACAGAGAGACCCGGCGCGGGUCAACGGCCAAGAGGUUCGCUUUUUUACCCCGGUCCGACGCUCGGUGCGAAUCGAGAGAGCCUCGCUCCGAUACCCCGCGUCCCUCCAGGACCACGAUCUCUGCGUGGCCUCCUACAAUGACCUGAUCUCCGAGGAGGAUAAAGAGGAAAGCGAAGAGCGAGAGGGCGGGGAAACGAGCCCGGCUGUCAAAGACACGCCGCUGUACGUCUACAGGGAGAACGAAGCGCUUAAAGACAAGAUGUUUGUCGAGCUGGUCUGUGAUUAAGGCAUUUGACCUUACUCCGCGUCGACCAGUGUUUAGUUGAGUCAGAAGUCAGAUGGUCACUGUCCACAAAGCAGGAAAGAAAAAAAACACGUGCAUGUGUUGUCAGAUCUCACCUGAAGAAAAGAAGGUGUGUCCGCUGAAGUUUGACUGGAAUUUGUCAGCCAUUAUGCUACCAAAAAACCAGGGCUUCUUUCAAAGCGACUAACCGAAACUCUGGACAUGAAGUUACGACAUGAAACCAAGUUACGACAUGAACCAUUGUUCAGAAUGUGUGUAAUGUUAUUGCAACAUUUCUCAGUGCAACAAAAUAUACUGGCAAGUUAUGUUUCAACAAGAGGCUUCUUGUGUCAGGUUUUAUUUUAUGCUUGAGCGAAGACGCUUAUAUUAUUUUACGAUUUUGAAAUGUACAGUAAGCUGCUAGUCUGACCUGUUUAGAUGGGGAUUGUUUUUGGUCCAGGACCCGGUUUUCAGUUUUUUUCUGUAUCUUUAAAUGGGCGCUGAAAAAUUGAGAGAAAUCAUAACGUCUUGAUUUGACGCAGAAGAUCAAGGCCGCACUAACAUUGUAAUAUUCAGAUCAAUUAUUGAGACGUUUCAGCUGGUCGCCUUGAAGUUAAAACUAAAUGUAUCGACAGUGUAGCGAGCACUUCCCACCAACAGAUAAUUUCCCCACUGUCCUCAUGCUACAGUGUCAUCUCUGUAAACUUUGAUAUCAUCUUUUUCAUGUAACAAAUUAACAAGUUCCAGAAGACAUGCCGCACAUUUGAAACAAACAUUUGUCCACUUUUUAAAUUUUUUUAUAACUGAAAACAUGCAAGAAAACACAUCAUAUCACAGAUCAGAAGUGAAACUGACAGUGAUGGAGUUAGCUUUACUCAUCCUCAACAACCCCAGAAUAACUGAGACAUUGUUUCUAGACAGAAAAGUUGCUGUUGAGCUUCUCAAAUGUAACUUUUCAAGGAUUUUGAGAACCACAAAUGAAAUUCCACAAGUGGAUGUUUUGUCCCCUGAAGUGAUAAAGGCCUUAAACCUCCCAUGGUUUUGGAUGUAAAUGACUGAUGUUGAGUGAGAAAUGGUGCACCACUGCACUAGCUUAAGUGGAACAAGACCUAGUUUAUAGAUGAUGUUUGUCUUUGAGUUUAAACAUAGAUUGGUGGUUUGAAUAAACACUGGCA